rnacentral:rRNA from 1 species
AUACGGAGGGUGCGAGCGUUAAUCGGAAUUACUGGGCGUAAAGGGCGCGUAGGCGGCGAUGUAAGUCAAAUGUGAAAGUCCUCGGCUUAACCGGGGAAGUGCAUCUGAAACUGCAUUGCUUGAGUAUGGGAGAGGAAAGUGGAAUUCCCGGUGUAGAGGUGAAAUUCGUAGAGAUCGGGAGGAAUACCGGUGGCGAAGGCGACUUUCUGGACCAAUACUGACGCUGAGGCGCGAAAGCGUGGGGAGCAAACAGGAUUAGAAACCCUAGUAGUCC